AUUAUACUUCCAAGAAGUAUUUGGUCUCCAGGGAUGUCCAAUUUCAUGAAUCAGUUUUUCCUUUCAAAAAUGCCUCUCUCUCUGUUCCUUCAUCCAAUCCUAUUUUUCCUUUCAUCCAUUCCGGAGAACAUGAUGAUACUUCUAAUGAUUCUGAUUCUCCUCUUCCUUCAUCUCCUUCUGAUUCUGCUUCACCUGUCAAUCUACCUUCUUCUGCUCCACUCAGUUCUCCUGUCUUGGAUACUACUUCUG
rnacentral:lncRNA from 1 species